rnacentral:sRNA from 1 species
UGCCCCCUGUCUCAAAAAUGUCCCUCAUGUCCAUUUCCUGUCCAGGAGACUCAUGAGGACUGUGACCUGCACAAGCCCACACCUGGGCAGGCUGUUGGUGUCUCCUUGGUCCUUAGGCAGAUACUCCCCUGGGUCCCCGAUCUAGGGCCAGCUGCAGAGGGCUCUCUCUAGGCAGAGCGUUCCUGGCCGGAGCUCUACCUCUUUGCCUCCUGCUGACCCCUGACAGCAUCCCGUGGCAUUUCUUUCAUGUCUGCAUAUUGCAUAGCCUCGUCCUCCUGUGUGCCUGAGCUCCUCCCUUUUCGAUAAGAUUAUUAGUCCUGCAUGUCUGUGAGCUGCCUUUCAUCACCAUUUUUCCUGAGUAGGGCUUAGUUUUAUUUUGGAAAGACAUCUCCAAGGUGGACCCGGUCUCCCACAGGUGACAUCAACCUGAGGGUGGUGUCUUUAGAGGCAGGCACAUGGGCAGCCCUGUUCCCUUCACCUCUACUGCGAGGCCUGGGGAGAUGUUUUCAUGCUGCUUCCACCAUCACACUGGGGUUUCUGGAUGG